AAUAAGGUGCCUGAAAAAAGGGCUAUCUUGAUAGGGUAGAUAAUGUAUAAUAUACCCUUAUUA
rnacentral:tRNA from 1 species